AUUGAACGCUGGCGGCAGGCCUAACACAUGCAAGUCGAGCGGAUGAAGGGAGCUUGCUCCUGGAUUCAGCGGCGGACGGGUGAGUAAUGCCUAGGAAUCUGCCUGUUAGUUGGUUAUAACGUCCUGAAACGGGCGCUAAUACCGCAUACGUCCUGAGGGAGAAAGGGGGGGAGCUUCGGACCUCACGCUAUCAGAUGAUCCUAGGUCGGAUUAGCUAGUUGGUGGGGUAAAGGCCUACCAAGGCGACGAUCCGUAACUGGUCUGAGAGGAUGAUCAGCCACACUGGAACUGAGACACGGUCCAGACUCCUACGGGAGGCAGCAGUGGGGAAUAUUGGACAAUGGGCGAAAGCCUGAUCCAGCCAUGCCGCGUGUGUGAAGAAGGUCUUCGGAUUGUAAAGCACUUUUGUUUGGGAGGAAGAGCAGUAAGUUAAUACCUCGCUGUUUUGACGUUACCAACAGAAUAAGCACCGGCUAACUUCGUG
rnacentral:rRNA from 1 species